rnacentral:lncRNA from 1 species
UUAACUGAAGCGUGGAAAGGCUCUGGCAAGAUACUUUUGCUCAAGGACACAAAGCUCCGUCCUGUCCUGUAAUCAGAACCUCUGAGCCUCGGGUCACACAUCGAAACAGCGCGAGACUUCCGCCUCUGAAGAGAAGGUUUCUUUGAUAGCAUCAGCGCUGGGACCUAAUCCCCACACCCUGACAUCACACAAGGGGCGAAAUUAAACGACGGAGAGAACGUGUUGAGUGGGAUUCGGAGAAGUAAAAGAGGGGAAAGGGCGGAGGGAAACAGAAGAGAGAGAGAGAGAGAGAGACAGUUGUAAAUACAGCAUGGGGUAGGAAUUUGGAAUGUGAAAUGACUAAUGCAGUUGCUCAACCCACAACAAGAACAUGCACUGCCUAGAGCUAUGACAGGGCUGAGUGCAUACCUCUAUGGGGGGGCCUAGCUCAGAGACCGGGGUGGACGGGGAUGCGUGGCUGAGCCUCCUCGCGGUGGGUGAUGAGACGCUCGGCUGUGGAGACGGUGUGUAAACACGUGUGACGGUCAAUUGAGCAGGCGGCAGGGUUGAAAUGAUGGAUUUCCACCUGGGGACGCAGAAAAAGAGCCGCAUUGCAGAACGACUACUCAGACUAAUGAGAGCAAAUACAGAAAAUUAGAGCAGGCAAAAAAAAGAGAGAGAAGGAUUGAAAUCAUGUCUGUGAGCGUUGAGCAAGCAAGUUGGCUGCAUGAUAAACUUCUCUCCUUUUCUGUAAAUGAUCUCUGUUUCCAGAGGCAUCCUGUUACGUCUACCAGAGUCAAGCGUCUAGAAUCUGGAUCACUGGGAACGUGACGGUUCUUGCAUGAUGUUCAGUUUUCCUCCUCGCUGUUUGUUCUGGCGCUGAAAUCAUUAGUUGAUGAACCGACAACUAUUUUCAUUAUCAACUCAUCAUGGACGACGAGAAACAAAGAUGGCGGCCUCCCACCCUCGUGCAAUGCCCCGACGGCAGCAGCAGCAGAAGCAGCGAUCGCUGUCUUCAUCACAACUCUUCAUCACAACUCUUCAUCACAACUCUUCAUCAAUGGCUCUUGUGUCCGUGACGCUGGAGGUAAAGUCUGACAGCGGUCCGAAGUUUACUCUCUUAUCAGAGAUCCUGCACCGAAUUGAUUGGGAAGAUGGUUCACUCAGCACUAAUUCGAGACACUGAAUGUUUAGAACUGAUUUUUUUUUUUUUUUGUCGUUUAUUCAUGAAACGUGGUAUAAGUGUGUUGAUAUGUGGUCUUUUUACUAUGGAGGGUAUUGAAAUAUAAUGACUCACACCAUAAUUCCGUGUGUUCCCGCCGGACGGCAAAAGUUGUUCAUUAAACACAGAAAGUUUGUUGCACGGUUGAAGUUUUGAAAUUCAACAUUAAAUCUGUCAAUCAGUCACAAUAUCAAUGCUACAAAAACGAUCACUGAAUCAACGUUGUAUGAGGGUCAUCUUGUCACAAUGCCCCUACUGCCAACUUUCCCUUUUUUACUUUUAAUAUGAGUGUAUAAUAACGUAUUUUAAAGAUGUAUUCAAGUAACUAACUUUCCACAGACUUGGACAGAAAAUGGUUUCAAAGAGAGUUGGUGCUUGAGGUCAGCAGCAGAUAAGGCAGCGUCGUGUUUGAGAACAGAUUUCAUGCUGCAAAGAUGCUCCGCACGUGUUUACUGUUAUCCCCCCUUGACCAGUCCCCCCCUCACCAAAUGGGAAACUCCUGGGGAAGGUUGUUCCCAUGGUGCUCCACGGAAACACCUGCAGCACGGACAGCAGGGUCCACACUGCAGCAGCUGCGAUAGGACGCGAUAAGACCCCGCGCACCUUCACAACUGACUCCCCCCCCAGCUCAAUGUAUGGUACUCCUCUGCUUUUCUCUCACCAAAAAAAAAUCACACAGGCACGCACACACACUCUGACCUCCAUUACAAGCGGAACAAAACUUUCCCAGGACAACAAUAUCUGAGCGAGGGGAAAACACUGAUAAAAGGCAGAGCUACGUGUUCUCUCAACCAGCAACAUUUCUGAAAAGUCCGUCUGGGAUGUCUUUCCGCCAAUGAGUAUUUGUAAUUUGCAGAGCCACACAUUGAUGGCGUCUGUUGGGGUUUUUUUUUUUUCUUCCGAGCACUUGCACUUAAUUAAACCAUCCCUCGUGUUAAAGGAUUCAAAUACACAAUGAUGUGCCAUUGACAUCUAUCAUCAUCUAGAGGUGUGCGAACCACACACGCUUGGAUCACUGACACGUUCGACUUAAUCAUGAGACUGCGGUCGAGGGUGGGUGCAUGACUGUGGGUAGGAAGCUGUCAGUCGGGGGGGGAACCCUGGCGCAGCGCUCCUCCGUGCCAUGGAGAUGUUUGUCUUUCCGUGCCCGGCUGAGCCGUCAUGCAACCACAGGGGUGGACAUGCGUCUCUCAUCCUGAGGAGUGUGGGUGUCGCAGGUGGUAUGGCCACAGGGCUGUGUGAGUGUGUGUGUGUGUGGCAGCUGUAUAGAAGUCUUUGAGGUCAGAAGGAAACUCCCUGUUAAACAGAUUAAAGAUUAUUACAUGGUAAAUCAGGGUAAUAGAUUAAACUUGAAAUACAAAGAAUACCAGUAAAAUCGCUGCCUAUUGGUUACUCCAAAAAAGCCAUGGACAGAUUAUGAAAGGGCAACCGGACAUAUUGUAAAAGACCCCCACCUCUUCUACACGCGUGCAAAAGACACCAGAAUUGAGUCUUUGUGGGGGUUUCGGAUCAUUUGAUUGCUGUCUGGUCAUUUUGAGUCUCUCUGUCGCCGCUCGAUUGACUUUCCAACACAAGAAAGCCAACGAGCCAACUGUCCGACUCUUGAAGAUUCCGGGGGGACCAACCCCCCGGCCCCCCCAGGUCCCACUCUCCCCACCAAUAACCCACGAGACACUGGGAGCUUAUGAGUUUCCCCCGUCAUCUCUGACAGGCCCUCAUUUGCUUUCAUUCAGCGUCUCAUCAUGUCUUCAAAGACGACUGGAUCGUCUCCCUCGGGGGGGGGGAGACGUCAGUGUGCCUUCAAAAAAAAUGACUGGUAUCCAAAAAAUUGUUGACCCGGGGGCAACUCUGCUCCUCAUAAUUGGCUCCUGCACUCCGUCUGUCUUGGGCAAUCACUGCAGAGUUAUGAUGUAUUAUAUUGCCAGGAAAAGAUCAUUAGGUACGUUGUUUGGAAGUGAUUGAAUAACGUAUCAUUUUCCCCUUGAUGAACAAAAGAGUGUUAUUGAGGUUCAUCACAGAGCACAC